rnacentral:lncRNA from 1 species
AUCCAGCUAUGGAGAAAGCCGCAGGUAGGAGGCCAGGAGAAAUCCUCUGCAGGGGACUUUGGGACAGGCAGGGGGCCGACUUGGAGGCUGAAGCUUUGGGACCAGGGCACACUUGAUUUUGGGGCUUGGAGCCCUGAGGCAGAUCUGCAGGACACAGCCUCGUUAACUCUGAAGUUUAAGUUUAACCCAAAGCUGGGCAUUGAUAAUCCUGUCCUCUCCCUGGCCGAAGACCACGACCCCUAUGGUAACUCCCUCACCCCCUGGCAACCAUUCCCUAUCCCUGGAGGCACCACGGCUCCACACGGCCUCCGAUCUCCUUGGUAACCACUCACUCGGUCUCCCUCUGAUAACAGCCUUGGUUGGGAGUAGAGAUAGGAGGGGCCGGGUGUUUUCUCCUGUCCCAGUCCCUCUGCCCACGAACCCCACCACCCAACACCCAACCAGGCAGAAACUGCCCAGCACCCUAUCAGGACACAGGGUCUGCCAGGCACACGGCGAACCUGUACUUGGGCUGUGCCCUCUCCUCCCCCUUUUCUGCUGCCCAC